GAGGGUAUAGCUCAAGUGGUAGAGUGCAUGCUUAGCAUGCAUGAGGUCCUGGGUUCAAUACUCAGUACCUCCU
rfam:Camelus ferus isolate Naran unplaced genomic scaffold scaffold1953, whole genome shotgun sequence.